ACUGUUAGAUCUCUGUGUAUUAUAAGUCUCUUGAGUUGUGUUCUGGCAACUUGUCGGGAGGGCUUUAAGCUCGUGGGCAAUAAAUGCUACAUUAUAUCCUACAAUACGAUGGAGUGGCGUGAGGCCGCGGUCUUUUGCGCUCAGAAACAGGCCCAGAUGUUGGUGGUGGAAAAUGAAAUGGAAAGGGAACUUCUGCUGAAAUUUUUCAGAGCUGAAGAUAUAGAGAUAAACUGCUUUCUUAAAGGUGCUUGGACAGCAAUUAAUUGCCUCAAAGAAAAUCGCAACUUUGUUGUGCAUCCCACAAACGAAAAAAUCCCUUUCGACAUGUGGUUGGUCGGAUAUCCUAACAAAAUGCAUCAAAAGUGUGUGCCAUGUUGUUAUAGCUAUAAACAAUUACAUUAUAUGGAUUGGGACUGCGAUAGUACCCGUUAUAGAGCUGUAUGUCAGUAUCCCGCACCCCCAGAAGAGAUAGAAAUUUGCGUUGAAGUUGAACAAGCUGCCCCAUAUUGUAAUCCUCUAAAGCACUAUGCAUCGUUAAAUGUAAAACCACUUGCUUAGAUCGAA